GAGGUCGUACCUGCCCAAUGAUACACAUUUAAUGGCCGCGGUAUUCUGACCGUGCAAAGGUAGCGUAAUCACUUGUCCUUUAAAUGAGGACCCGUAUGAAUGGUUUGACGAGGGCUUAACUGUCUCCUCUCCUAAAUCAAUGAAAUUGAUCUCUUCGUGCAAAAGCGAAGAUAAAAACAUAAGACGAGAAGACCCUGUGGAGCUUAAGAUAAAAAUAUAGACUUAGACCAGAGACUUUAAAAAUAAAUAAAGCCAAAAACUUUUAUAUAAUAUCUUCAGUUGGGGCGACUACGGAGAAUAAAAAACCUCCGCGAAGACAAGAACAUAAAUUCCCAAAACUUAGAAACACCCUUCAACCCAAUAGAAUUUCUAACUUUUAUUGAUCCAACCUGUUGAUCAACGGAAAAAGUUACCCCAGGGAUAACAGCGCAAUCCCCUUUCAGAGUCCCUAUCGACAAGGGGGUUUACGACCUCGAUGUUGGACCAGGACAUCCUAAUGGUGCAGCCGCUAU
rnacentral:rRNA from 1 species